AAAAAAUGAGUCAACAGUCUCAAAAACUGAAGAGUGCUAGAACUGCUCUCAAAAGUGAAAUAUGAGUUCAAACAGAAGCAGUCUUCUUAGGUGACUAUGGCUGGCCUGCCUCUUGGCAAUCCCAUUCUUCCUGUGCCAGAGAGUGCCCAGGGCCUGCUUACAGAGGACUAACACUCUCAGUCUCCAGGAGGCUGGCUACUUUCCUCAGCCAAACUCUCCCUCCUAGCAAUUCACUAGCAAGGGAAUGGGGUCAUUAAUCAUGGUGGAGUAGUUUCCCCAGGUGGAAUGCUCUUUUCUAAAUAGGGCCUUGAUUUGUGUAACAGUUAUGGAUUUUAGCUGAGAAAAUAAGUAGACAUCAAGCUAUUGUCCUGCUUAGAAAAUGGGACAGAACUUUCAUUCAGAUAAAGUUAAACAGUUGUUUGGUUG
rnacentral:lncRNA from 1 species